GGGGGUGAACGGUUUCGACUUCGGACGUUGAGUCAGUGGGAAGCGUGCCGGUGCAGGCGAGAGACCACCGUAAGCGUCAUCGCACCCCAAUAAGCGCCGACUCCAGUCAGCGCGAGUUCGCACUCGCCGCCUGAGCGAGUAGCGACUCUGUCGGACCGGGGGCGUCCCCGCCCCGGACCCCGGCAUCAGCUAGGGGACUCCACUCGCAGGCCCGGUCGCGGGGCCUGCGAGGACACCGAACAGCGACUGGGAUCGUCACACCGGCUGGUCCGCGAGACCGGUGGAUCCGAGUAGAGACGUAGCGGACUGCGCACGGAGAAGCCCUGAUGAUGCGACGAAGGACCCGGGUUCGAUUCCCGGCACCUCCACAC
rnacentral:sRNA from 1 species